rnacentral:rRNA from 1 species
UAGUCCACGCCGUAAACGAUGAGUGCUAGACGUUGCGGGUAUUGACCCCUGCAGUGUCGAAGCUAACGCGAUAAGUGAUCCACCUGGGGAGUACGUUCGCAAGAAUGAAACUCAAAGGAAUUGACGGGGGCCCGCACAAGCGGUGGAGCAUGUGGUUUAAUUCGAUGCUACGCGAAAAACCUUACCAACCCUUGACAUGGUGGUCGCGAGAGAUAGAGAUAACUCUCUUCAGUUAGGCUGGACCACACACAGGUGUUGCAUGGCUGUCGUCAGCUCGUGUCGUGAGAUGUUGGGUUAAGUCCCGCAACGAGCGAAACCCUCAUUCUCAUUUGCCAGCGGUUCGGCCGGGAACUAUGAGAAAACUGCCGGUGAUAAGCCGGAGGAAGGUGGGGAUAAUGUCAAGUCAUCAUGGCCCUUAUGGGUUGGGCUACACGCGUGCUACAAUGGUAUCUACAGAGGGAUGCAAUAUGGCAACAUGGAGCAAAUCCUCAAAGG